UGCAGUUUUAUGACUGGUCCUUUAACCUGCGAUGCCUCGGCUAUUCACAAUGAGGUUGCUGUAGUUUGACGAGCACAUAAACAUGGGCCCCAUCCAUUUGGGUUCCUGUGGUGCAGAUUGGCUGCAGUAGGUUCAUUGUAGGAGUAGGGAUGCAUCUAGAUGGAAUCUAUCGACCUUGAUAGAUUAGGAGAGAUCCUAUGUGAUUUAUGAGACUGAGUUCGUAAAUCUUUGGCCAAGGUAGUUUUUGGAAAAAGAGCUUUCCAAUCUCGAACUAAAGUCAAAUAAAUUUUACAUAUGACAGAUGAAGGGGUUUGACGAGUUAUCAAUGACCUCCAUCCUAUCGGGAUCUACGAUAGAGGGACUGUAUCAUACGAUAACUGCACCUAGAGGUUCAUCUAUUCCAUUCUGCUGGGUUGUCACUACAUGCUUCUAGGUGUCACUGGUGGAUUGUGAGACUCAAAGGCAUUCACUUAAUGAUCAGUGAACCCGAAUGAGAAGAGUGGAAAUUGUUCCAACCUAUUGAAAGGAGUUUCAAUGAUAUUGUGAUAGGGAUCACAAUAUAUCUCACUACCAGACAGAAUAGAACCUAUGGGGUCACACACAUUAGAGAUAUUGACCGAUCCGAUGGUUGAAUUGUGAUUUGGAAUCACAAAUAAUUUAUAAUUAUCAAUUUGAUUGAUAAUUGUUUUAACUCACUAAGAGUUAGUGAGUAGAAGAAGGAAUAAUUACAAUUGGAUUGCAAUUUAAUUAAAUCAAUUGAACUUAAUUAGUUGGGCUUGAUCUUAUUUAAUAAGAGUCCUACUUGCAGUAGGACUCCUAGAGUCCUAAUUAGAUUAAGACUUCAAAUUAAAUUAGAGUCCUACUUGGAGUAGGAUUCCUAAAGUCCUAA
rnacentral:lncRNA from 1 species